GAUAAACGCUGGCGGCAUGCCUAACACAUGCAAGUCGAACGGCAGCAUGAAUAGGGGUAACCUUAUUUGAUGGCGAGUGGCGGACGGGUGAGUAAUAUGUAGGAAUCUACCUAGAGGAGGGGGAUAACUUGGGGAAACCCAAGCUAAUACCACAUAAGCCCUACGGGGGAAAGCAGGGGAUCGAAAGACCUUGCGCCUUAUGAUGAGCCUACAUCGGAUUAGCUAGUUGGUGGGGUAAAGGCCUACCAAGGCGACGAUCCGUAGCUGGUCUGAGAGGAUGAUCAGCCACACUGGGACUGAGACACGGCCCAGACUCCUACGGGAGGCAGCAGUGGGGAAUAUUGGACAAUGGGCGAAAGCCUGAUCCAGCAAUGCCGCGUGUGUGAAGAAGGCCUUAGGGUUGUAAAGCACUUUCAGUAGGGAGGAAGGUUGUAAUGCUAAUAUCAUUGCAAAUUGACGUUACCUACAGAAGAAGCACCGGCUAACUCUGUGCCAGCCGCCGCAGUAA
rnacentral:rRNA from 1 species